rnacentral:rRNA from 1 species
GACGAACGCUGGCGGCGUGCCUAACACAUGCAAGUCGAGCGGGGUUGAAGCGAGAGGUAACUCGAACUUCUACCUAGCGGCGGACGGGUGAGUAACGCGUGGGCAACCUGCCUCAAGGUCUGGGAUAACAGCCCGAAAGGGCUGCUAAUACCGGGUAUGCUUGUGGCCUCGCAUGGGGCUAUGAGCAAAGGGGAAACCCGCCUUGAGAUGGGCCCGCGUCCCAUCAGCUAGUUGGUGAGGUAACAGCUCACCAAGGCGACGACGGGUAGCCGGCCUGAGAGGGUGACCGGCCACACUGGGACUGAGACACGGCCCAGACUCCUACGGGGGGCAGCAGUGGGGGAUCUUGCACAAUGGGCGAAAGCCUGAUGCAGCGACGCCGCGUGGGCGAAGAAGGCCUUCGGUUGUAAAGCUCUGUCUGGAGGGACGAAGGAAGUGACGGUACCUCCGGAGGAAGCCACGGCUAACUACGUG